AGAGUUUGAUCAUGGCUCAGAUUGAACGCUGGCGGUAUGCUUAACACAUGCAAGUCGAAAAACGAUGGUAGCUUGCUACCAGGCGUCAAGUGGCGGACGGGUGAGUAACGCGUAGGAAUCUGCCCAGUAGUGGGGGACAACCAGGGGAAACCCUGGCUAAUACCGCAUACACUCUACGGAGAAAAGGAGGCCUCUUCUUGAAAGCUUUCGCUAUUGGAUGAGCCUGCGUGAGAUUAGCUAGUUGGUAGGGUAAAGGCCUACCAAGGCGACGAUCUCUAGCUGGUCUGAGAGGACGAUCAGCCACACUGGGACUGAGACACGGCCCAGACUCCUACGGGAGGCAGCAGUGGGGAAUAUUGGACAAUGGGGGCAACCCUGAUCCAGCAAUACCGCGUGUGUGAAGAAGGCCUUAGGGUUGUAAAGCACUUUCAGCAGUGAGGAAAAACUUGAAGUUAAUAAUUUCAGGUCUUGACGUUAACUGCAGAAGAAGCACCGGCUAACUCCGUGCCAGCAGCCGCGGUAAUACGGGGGGUGCAAGCGUUAAUCGGAAUUACUGGGCGUAAAGCGCGCGUAGGCGGUUUGGUCAGUCGGAUGUGAAAGCCCUGGGCUCAACCUGGGAACUGCAUUCGAUACUGCCUGACUAGAGUGUGGUAGAGGGAAGUGGAAUUCCGGGUGUAGCGGUGAAAUGCGUAGAUAUCCGGAGGAACACCAGUGGCGAAGGCGACUGUCUGGACCAAUACUGACGCUGAGGUGCGAAAGCGUGGGUAGCAAACAGGAUUAGAUACCCUGGUAGUCCACGCCGUAAACGAUGUCAACUAGCCGUUGGGAGUCUUAGUAUUCUUAGUGGCGAAGCUAACGCGAUAAGUUGACCGCCUGGGGAGUACGGUCGCAAGAUUAAAACUCAAAUGAAUUGACGGGGGCCCGCACAAGCGGUGGAGCAUGUGUGUUAAGGCGAAGCAACGCGAAGAACCUUACCAGGUCUUGACAUUCAGAGAACUUACUAGAGAUAGUUUGGUGCCUUCGGGAGCUCUGGGACAGGUGCUGCAUGGCUGUCGUCAGCUCGUGUCGUGAGAUGUUGGGUUAAGUCCCGUAACGCGCGCAACCCCUACCCUUAGUUGCUAGCAGGUAAUGCUGAGAACUCUAAGGGGACUGCCGGUGACAAACCGGAGGAAGGUGGGGAUGACGUCAAGUCAUCAUGGCCCUUAUGGGCUGGGCUACACACUUGCUACAAUGGCCGGUACAGAGGGCAGCAAUACCGCGAGGGGGAGCUAAUCCCAGAAAACCGGUCGUAGUCCGGAUCGCAGUCUGCAACUCGACUGCGUGAAGUCGGAAUCGCUAGUAAUCGCGAAUCAGAAUGUCGCGGUGAAUACGUUCCCGGGCCUUGUACACACCGCCCGUCACACCAUGGGAGUGGGUUGCAAAAGAAGUGGCUAGUCUAACCUUCGGGAGGACGGUCACCACUUUGUGAUUCAUGACUGGGGUGAAGUCGAAACAAGGUA
rnacentral:rRNA from 1 species